GCAAUCAGUCAGUCUGUCAAGAAUAAUCUCCCAGAUAUGAGGAAAAAAAAUAUUUUGGGACAAAAUAUGAAUGCUAUAUUUUGGGAGUAGGUAGAAAAAUAGUUACAAAAAUAUUUUGGGACAAAAUAUGAAUAAUCUCCCAGAUAUGAUGGGGGAGUAGGUAGAGAAGUAGUUAUAUUUUGGGACAAAAUAUGAAUGCUAUAAGUAACCAUAAUAUGGGACAGAGGGAGUAGUCAAUACCCAGAUAAUUCGGCUCGUCAACUUCAGUUCCUACUUACUGUCCUUAAACAUCCAAAGGGAUUGUAAUAUUUUGAUCCAAACAAGGAAUAGUAGCAAUUGCUGCAUGCCAUUAUUUUCAUGAAGAUUCAUUCUGAAUUUGUAGUUUUAUAUCUCCACUACCUUUAGUUAAGUAACCUCAUUUCCAGAAUAUUACCAAAAUUACAUUGGAAGUUGAAGAAACUACAGUAAGCAGCAUAAUGCUUACAGCAGACAAAUAAUCAAACAGUAAAAGACCACCACAUACCAGCAUUAUCAAAGGCCAAGCUUGUAUCUCCCAAAAGCAUUACAGCGAUGAUGAACAUAAAUACAACUCUUGGGCCCAUUUUGCCUGUUAGAUACAUGGAUUAAACAAAAGAUGGACUAGCAAUUCAACAGAACAGCAUCUAAUUCAACAGAACAGCAUCCCUAAGUCAAUGGCAUUUCUUGGAUUUUCUCUAUAAGAAAUCAUCAUCAAUUAUUUUCUAAAGUAGCGAAAAAUAUUUAAAAGCAUUGGCACCGGUCGUUUCGGACCAAUAUACCAAACAGGCAUCAAUUCCUUCUUUAUUAUGAGUAUAAAAGGCACCCAUUCUGUCAUAUGUAAAUUUUGAACUUUGCAACCAUUUUUUUUUAAACCGAACUUUGCAACCAUUUUAAAUAGAAAACAAAAUAAAAGAGGAUAUGCGAAAUCCCAGACAUGGUUAUAUGCUCAAACAUCCACAUAAAGCUCUAUUAAUCUGGUCAUGCAUUGGAUAUGACCGACGCCCACCCUCUCUUUUUUCUUCAGAGAGUGCAAACUAAAUCAUAAAGGGUGUGAGCUAACACUAGUGAGAACCAUCAUACUUCAGCAAUAGAGUAAUGAAAGUGAGAACAAUCAUACUUCAGUAAUAGAGUAAUUAAAACUGCAUAUAACAUUUUGAAGAAGUAAUGGUCUGCACAGAUCAGCUCCUCCAACCCUUAUUUGCUUUGCAGAACCUGACAGGCAGACAAGAUUAUUCUCCCCCCACAAACAUAAGCUUCUCUAUCUAUUAUUACUAGGUGGAAAAAGAAAAUCUCAACAAAUCGAUUUGCACAGAAUGACACAAAAGGCAGACAAGAAAAUUGAAAAUUUCCACCCGGAAUCGCUGGAAAACGCAAGUAAGGUAGGACUAUUUAAGCAGGAGUCCAACCAAAUGACCACCAAGAGCCCAUAAUCCAACUCCGGCCGAGCAAAGAACCUGCUUUAUUCAUACGAGGUAUCUUUGGGAGGGACGGAGGCAGACGGCAGCGGGAGGUCAAGGGCGGCAGUUAGGGCACUGCCGGCGGCGGUGGAAGGAGGCAGAGAGAGCAGAGCAAAGGGACCCUGGCUCAGCCGCUCAUGGAGAGGAGGAGAGGAGGUGGAUUUGCGGUGAGAGAGAGAGGAGGAAAGCGUUGACUUUUCCUGAUUGGGCCUGGACUGGGCCGUGUGCUUUUUUUUUUUUCUAAACUGUAGUUUCACUAUGAAUUAUUGCUAAUUCAAUAUUUUCAUUUUUGAACUAGCUAAACUAGCAAAAUUCAUAUUGUUUCUAACAUUCUAUUGUUAUUAGAUUGUACUUGGCAUAUAUCAUUUUGUUUUUUUAUUCCAAACUAUAGUUGAUUUGAAUUUACUAAUUACCUAAUUUAAAUAUCUAUAUUAUUAGUCUAAAUUAUUUUUAAAAUUAAAAAUAUUAAAAUAUUACAGAUAUAUCACAAUGUUUUAGGGACGGGAAGACAAAGUACGUUCAAUGGUUUCAAUUUAUAACCUGAUAAAGAAAGAAUGUUAAAUUAGAUUCAUGCCAAGUGUCACAGUAUGUCCUUUAGAAAAUUUUGUGGAAUAAAAAUUACUUAUAAGAAUAUACCUUGAUAAAAAGAUAUUUUGUGUGACUAUGGGUAGUUUGUGGUCUAGAUUCUUCUUAAGAAAUUUAUGUGAGUUUGGAUGAGUACAAAUUAUGUGAGCUUACAUUUUUCGUUCUAAGGGUGUUUGGAUGAGAUUCAAUAACCAAAUUACAUCUGCUAAAAACGGAAAUCAAAAUUAACAACUUGAAAGUAGGUGGAGCUGGGCAGAGGCAGAUCUAACCCUGUUUCGGUUGAACCCCCAAACUUUUUGAGGGAUAACGCAGAAUACCUGAUGAGGUGUGGGUAGGGAGGGAUGCUCACCGGCGAGCGACGAUGCGGUGGAAGAAGGAGGACGCCGGGCGCCACCUCUGCUCGCAGGAUGGGGAUCGGCGCAAGCGGCGGGCGAGGAGACGAAAUUCGAGGCCGAGGCCGGAUGGGAUGGAUUAGGAUGCGAAUGCGGCGGGAGCAGGAGGACGCCGGCGCCACCUCUGCUAGCAGGAUGGAGAUCGGCGCCAGCGGCAGGCGAGGAGACGGGAGUCGAGGGCGGCGGGCGAGGAGACGGGACGGAUUGGGGAGGCGGAGGUCGUGCAGCGCUCUGCUGCCGCGUUGUCGCCUGCCUAUGGGUCAUAUGCACAGGCGCCUCAUCUCCCAAAAAAGUUCAUCUAAGGUCCCUUAUCUUGUCGUUGAGUUUUAAACGGCCCUGAACCCCUAAUCUUGCAAAACGGUCCACUUUUAAUCCCAAGGUAGUAUUGCUUUCCGGUUUUGUUGACGUGGUGGCUGAGUCAGUGCAGGGCCCACGUGGAACCCACAAGCCAACUAGCAAUCUUCUUCCACCUCACUCCCCUCUACUCCUAUCUCAACCCAAACCUCUAGGGCAUUCGCCAAUGGGUGGGGAGAAGGGUGUCGGUUGGCAGGGAAAAGCUCAACGGCGGAGGCCGCCAGCUGACGUGGCUCCUAAUGACCGGGAGCGCUCACGUCAUGGACUUGCGCACGUGCGGGGUGUGGCGGGUCCCAACUACAACUGCAAUGUCGUCUUCACGAGCACGCGUGAGGGCUAGGGCUUCCGCCUCGUCACGCUCCUACCCUCCCCCCAGCUCAUAGUCACCCCCAUCGAGCCCGUUGCGGUCGCAUCGCCCUUGAUGCAUGCACCCUUUCCCCCAACGCUCGCCACCGCCAAGCUUCUUGUUCGCUGCCAGCCUUCUCCCCACCCAUCGCCAGGCGUCGUCGUUGUAGUAUCGAGAUGUCGACUAGAGGGGGGGUGAAUAGGCGAUUUAAAAACUAAAUAACACCUAAUCAAAUCUAACCUAAGUUGCUAGGCUUGGUGAGGGUGAACUCUAACUAAGCAACUAAGUUAUGUUUUGCAAACCUAGGGUGAUAGUGGCUCAAUUAUAUCUCUAGGAAAGUAAAUCACGCUCCUAUGUUAAUGUUUUGCAAUCCUAGGGUGAUAUGAUCUCAAGUAUGUCUCUAGAAAUGUAAAUUGCACAAAUGUAAAUGCGACAAUCAAAUGAGACAAUGAGACAAGAGAUUUUUCACCGAGGUUCGGAAACUCGCCGGUUUCCUACUCCCCGUUGAGGCGAGCCCAACUCCACCGCUCAACCACGAAACCACCGCAUGCCCCCUUCGUCAAGGGGUGGGCAAGGCGGGAGCCGGCCCACGGAGAGGACUACCCAAGCCUCGAUCACUCGGGGUAGUCCUUCCUUCACUCCGAAGGUGGUGAACUCCAAACCACUCACAAACCGAAGUAUUCAAGAUGCCAACAUCGGUGCGCAAGCCACGAACAUCCUCAUGCAAUGGUUCAUGCUCGGUGGAUAAGCGUUGAAUGCUUUCACUUAGGGUAUUAAUAGCUCCAAGGACCGGGUUGAAGAAGUCAUUUGGUUGCAUUCCAAAGUAGACAUAUUGUGGAUGGAAUAAAGCACUUGGAUCAUACCCUUGAGGAGGAGGGGGGGCUGCACUUGAGCUUGCACCUUGAUCGAAUGUUGGUUGGCGCACACGAGGAGCUCUAGGGGAGGAGAGUUGGAGACGAGGCUUGUACUCCUUAUGUUCUUUUAAAUUGUGACCAAUUUUUCCCAAUUUGCUUUGAAUCAACCUCAUUAUGUAGGGAGCAUAAUAGAUUCCUUGUCCAAUAGUCCCCUUUGAGAUGGCAAUCUCCUUCAUCAUAAGGUUGAUAACAUCAAACCGAUGACCAUCUAUAAUGGCAUCAAUAACAUGCCAAGCAACUCCGCGUAUGUCAUCAUUGUUGCCGCAUCUUGGGAGGAUGGUGGCCCUUACUAUGCGGUUGAUCACACUUGGGAGAGCCCUCAAACCCGCCACCUUUCCAUAUGUGUGCCUUCCCCCUUCUUCAUAAAACAGAGAAAAGUGAUCAAUGGGGAAGGGAUUGUGGGUGUGCUCAUCAUGAAGGUCAUCCCCGUUGUUGAAACGAAUGUGCAAGAGCUCCUUGAAUUCACGGCGGUUGAUAGAGCAUCGGAGGGUCCCCGACAUCCACUUCAUUGCAUCACAAUCGCCGGACACCCAUACGGUGGCAUAGAAUUGCCGGAUGAGAUCUUCAUCAAAAGGUUGUUUCAUGGUGACAAUUCUAUCAAUCCCAACAGUCCGGAACAUCUCUUGCAAAUUCUCAAACUCCGGUGUCUCACCAAUGUGCCUCCACGAAAUCCACUUGUGUUCGGCGAAGGCUUUGUUGGCAUAUACUUGUUCAUACACGGACUUUUGGAACCGUGUAUGAAAUCUUGGAUCAUUACAAUCGUUAGGCCUCCGGAAUUGAUCAUGAUGACGGAGGAUAGUGUAUUGUUGAACAUUCCUCAAAUUAAGCACAUAUUGGAUGGUGGAAUCAAGAGGACUCCCAUCAUCACUUGCCUCAUCAUCUUCACCAUUUCCACUCCCAUUGUUAUCACCAUCAUCACCAUCAUCACUUACUUCCAUCUCAUCACCCUGAACAUUUUCCAUAUUUUCAUCAUCACUUUGAACAUACUCAUCUCCGCUUGACUCCUCAUUCUCACUGACGGGAUCGGGCGUGGGCUCACGACGACCAUGGCGAGUGCGGGGAGGCAUGGCUGAAAAACAAGGAGCAAAGGAUGGAUAAGCAACAAUUUUAGAAGCCACAUAGUGAAGAGGGAGGAAUGGGGGUGCUGCCUGUCAGGGGCGGUCAGACCAAGAGCUAAGGCCGGUUAGACCGGCAUUCUAAAAAUUGCUAGGACCGACGGCCAUAGGCCGGUCAGACCGCCGUUGACAGUAGCACAACCGAAUCCUUCCACAAUCCACACAAAUGAUUCUAAAAAUUGCUAGGACAAAGUUGCACAAGAUUGGAACAUGAACAUCAAGGUGUAGGUCUAUUUCAUAGAGAUUGAAGCAAUGGGGGAAACUACCCUUAACCCUAGAGAUUUAGAUAGACCAAUUUGAGAGCAAAGCACAAGAGGGAGAGUGAUUUACCGGUUGAAGGAGUUGAAUCACACCAAGAAACCACCCUCUAUUGGUGCAAAUCGAAGAACACCUCUUCCUUCACCUAGGGUGCCAUGCCAUGGAUCACAAACUCAAUAAGAACUCAAAUCAAUCCAUGGAAUAGAGAGAGGAAGAGGAGGAGAUUCACUUACGGUGUAACCGGAGUGAUUUUGACGGUUGAACCGGAUGGAUUUGGUGGAGGGAGGUGGCUAGGGUUUGGGAGAGGAGAGAGGAGGAGUUUUUUCGAGUUGGAGAAGAGAAGAGAUGAGAUGGGAUGAGGAGGGGUCGGGUAGAAGGAGGAGGAGGAAGAAAGGACAAAGUCCUGGGCCCACCAUCCCAGGCCGGUCAGAUUGGCUUUACGCGUCCGGUCAGACCGCCGGGUUGCCGCCGGUCAGACCGUGCCAUAGUGGCCGGUCAGACCGCUGCCACCAGGCUGGUCAGACCGCGCAUAUAGCGCCGGUCAGAUCGCCUGGCCCCCCAGCCGACUGUGCACAGCCCUUGCACAGUUGGCUGCCCCUACUCAAUAAAAUUCAACAAAAUUUUGAUUUUUGGAGCAAUUUUGAAAUGUGUGAGUUGAAAUAUUGCCAACCAUUCAUAAUAUUUGAAAUUUAUGAAGAUUUGCAACAAAACUCACUUGAGUGCUAGGAGGUGGCCUUUUAUGGUCUAUAGGGGUUUUUGGGCGAAUUUGAUUUUCAAACAACUUUUGAAAUAUUUAGUUUUUGAAUAUGAUUUGAAUACCAAAAACAUUUCAAAUCCUCCUCUCUACCAACUUUGUUUUGAAUCUUUUCUCAGAUUCCUUCUCAAACUCAUUUUGGGGUUUAAUCUCAUUUUGGCCAAAAACAAGAAUCUAGAUUCUUCAAAAGAGAGCCAAAAUGGCAUUUUUCAUUCAAAAAUCAUUUUUCUAGCAAUGUGAGGCUUGGAAAACAUAUAGGGACCCUUUUGAAACAUUUUCCAAGAGAUAGUUUUCAAAUUUCAUUGAUUUUGCAAAAGUUUUGACUUAUGUUGACUUGGGCAUUUUGAAAAACACUACUAGCACUUUUGGUUGAUUUGCUCACAUAUAAAAGAAAGUAGAUCACAUGCAAGAGUCCAAAACUCCCCCUUAAUGUGACAUGCUCCAUUUUCGCAAUGAAGAACCAAAUGGCAAUAAGUCCAAAACAUAAGAGCAAAUAGGAGCAAAUAUACAAAAUGCAGAAGAAGCAACCAUGGUGCACCAUCUCAAACCACAUUAGAGAAAUCUAUGACAUUUAACUCAUUCCUCAACUUGUAAAAGCAGGUUUCAUCAAGAGGCUUGGUAAAGAUGUCGGCUAGUUGGUCCUCGGUUCUUAUGUGGCUAAUGACUAUGUCACACUUGGCAACAUGGUCUCUUAGGAAGUGAUGGCGAAUGUCAAUAUGCUUGGUUCUAGAAUGUUGGACCGGGUUAUUGGCUAUUUUUAUGGCACUAUCAUUGUCACAUAGGAGUGGAGUUUUGGUGAAGGAUAUGCCAUAGUCCAACAAGGUUUGUUUCAUCCAAAGCAAUUGGGCACAACAACUACCCGCCGAAACAUAUUUCGCCUCGGCGGUUGAGAGGGCUACGGAGUUUUGUUUCUUGGAUGACCAUGACACAAGGGAUCUACCAAGCAUUUGGCAACUACCGGAUGUGCUCUUUCUAUCCACUUUGCAACUGGCAUAAUCCGAAUAGGAAUAGCCAACAAGCUUAAAUUUAGCACCUUUUGGGUACCACAAGCCAAUAUUAGAGGAAUGCUUUAAAUAUCUUAGAAUCCUUUUCACGGCCACUAAGUGACACUCCUUAGGAGCGGCUUGAAACCGUGCACACAUGCAAACACUAAACAUGAUAUCCGGCCUAGAUGCGGUAAGGUAAAGCAAGCUACCAAUCAUGGAACGAUAAAGCUUUAAAUCUACCGGUUUACCUCCCUCAUCAAGGUCGAGAUGCCCGUUGGUUGCCAUAGGUGUCUUGAUGGGCUUCGCAUCCUCUAAGCCAAACCUCUUGAGUAGAUCCUUGAUGUACUUGGUUUGGCUCACGAACGUUCCAUCCUUGAGUUGCUUGAUUUGAAGUCCAAGGAAGAAGCUCAACUCUCCAAUCAUGGACAUAUCAAAUUCUCUAGACAUCAUAUCACCAAAUUCCUUGCAAAAUACCUCAUUAGUAGAACCGAAUAUGAUGCCAUCAACAUAAAUUUGACACACAAAGAAAUCAUCACCAAUGAUUUUUGUGAAAAGAGUGGUGUCAACUUUUCCAAUUUUGAAAUCCUUUGACAAAAGAAAAUCUCUCAAUCUUUCAUACCAAGCCCUAGGAGCUUGUUUUAAACCAUAAAGAGCUUUUGAGAGUUUGUAAACAUGGUUAGGAUUUUUAGGAUCUUCAAAACCGGGAGGUUGUUCAACAAAGACAAGUUCGGCAAUUUCACCAUUUAGAAAAACACUUUUCACAUCCAUUUGAAAUAGUUUUAUAUCAAAGCAUGAUGCAAAUGCAAGAAGGAUGCGAAUAGCCUCAAGUCUUGCCACGGGGGCAAAAGUUUCACCAAAGUCCAAACCUUCAACUUGUGUGACACCUUGCGCCACCAACCUUGCCUUGUUUCUCACUACCAAUCCGUUCUCAUCUUGUUUGUUCCUAAAGAUCCACUUUGUCCCUAUGACAUUGUGGUCUCUAGGUCUUUCAACCAAAGUCCACACCUUGUUUCUUGCAAAGUUGUUGAGCUCUUCAUGCAUAGCAUUCAUCCAAUCCAGAUCACAAAGAGCUUCAUCUACAUGUUUUGGCUCAAGACAAGAAACAAACGAGUAAUGUUCACAAAUCGAAGCGAUACGAGAUCGAGUUUGAACACCCUUACUAAUGUCACCCAACACUUGGUCAAUUGGGUGAUCCUUGGAAAGAGCGGUGUGUAUUCUUGGAGGCAUAGGUGGAUCUUGUGCCUUCUCCUCCUCUACUUCAACUUGAGCUUGACUUGGCGAAGCGGAAGUAGAUGGCUCAUCUUGAGUGGAGGUGGAUGGCUUGUCUUCCACUUCAAUAGGCUUGACAUCUCCAAUAGACAUGUUCUUCAUAGCUCUCAUCAAGCCUUCAUCACCUACAUCAUCCAAAUUCUCGUGCCCCUCUUGGGAGCCAUUAGUCUCAUCAAAUUGAACAUCGGCGGUUUCUUCCACAAUACCUUUGUUCUUGUUGUAGACCCGGUAUGCCUUGCUAUUUGAGGCAUAACCUAGAAGAAACCCUUCAUCACACCGACUUUCAAAUUUGGUUAGUCUAAUACCCUUUCGGUAAAUAUAACACUUGCAACCAAAAACUCGAAAAUAGGCAACAUUUGGCUUCCUCCCAACAAUUAGCUCAUAGGAAGUCUUUUUCAAGAGACGAUGCAAAUAAAGCCUAUUGAUUGCAUGGCAAGCGAUGUUUAUAGCUUCCGCCCAAAAGGAAUAAGAAAUACCAUAUUCAUCUAGCAUAGUCCUUGCCAUCUCAAUCAAUGUACGAUUUUUCCUUUCCACUACACCAUUUUGUUGAGGUGAGUAGGUAGAGGAAAGUUCGUGUUUGAUACCAAGAUCAUCACAAUAGUUCUCGAUAUUGGUAUUCUUAAAUUCGGAACCAUUUCACUUCUAAUUUUCACAAGAGCGCAACUAAAUUCAUUUUGGGCCCUUUUUGCAAACUUUUUGAAAAGCUCGGCAACAAUAGACUUAUCAUGCAAAAAGAACACCCAAGUAUAGCGAGAAUAAUCAUCAACAAUCACAAGACAAUGACUAUUACCACCAAUGCUCUUAUAGGUUGUUGGGCCAAACAAAUCCAUAUGCAAGAGCUCCAAUGGUCUAGAUGUGGACACGAUACUCUUAGUAGGAUGAGAACAUGCAACUUGCUUGCCGGCUUGACAAGCACUACAAAGCUUAUCUUUCUCAAACUUCACAUCUUUCAAGCCCACAACUAGAUCACGUUUUGAAAGUUUGCUCAAUUAAUUCAUGCCAACAUGAGCUAGCCUCCUAUGCCAAAGCCAACCCAAUGAAGUUUUUGCAACUAAACAAGUUUUCAAAUUUGCUUCACUAGAAUUGAAAUCAACCAAAUAAAGAUUUCCAUAUCUAAAACCUUUGAACACACAAGACUUGUCAAGAAGGCUAGAAACAAUAACUUCUUGUGGGAAGAAGGCACAUGACAAGCCAAGAUCACAAAUUUGAGCAACCGAAAGCAAAUUGAAAUUUAGAGAUUUAACAAGAGAGACAUUAUCAAUUGACAAAUCAUUGGAGAUAGCAAUUUUACCUAACUCAAUUACCUUUCCUUUGCUAUUGUCUCCAAAUGUCACUUUCUCUUGUUCAUUCCCUCCUACUUCAGAUGUGGUGAAAAUAGCCCUAUCACCGGUCAUGUGUUGAGUGCAUCCACUAUCAAGCACCCAAUGGCUCCCACCGGUGCGGUAGUUCACCUACAAAGGAAGAUCAAGCUCUUUUAGGUACCCAAACUUGUUUGGGUUCUUGGAGGUUAGAGACCAAAGCUUUGGGCACCCAAAUGGCAUUCUUUUUACCACCGAGUAUAGGGGAACCCACAUAUCUUGCAACAAUACUACCAUCAUAAGCCUUCCUAAGCAUAUAAUGAGAAUCGAAUAUGCAUGUCUUAGGAGGCUUACCACCGGGGCAAUCACUCACCAAAUGCCCAACCUCACGACACUUGGAGCAAUACUUACCAUUGCUCUUGACAAAACGAGUGGCACGGUGAGAAGGUUUCUUACCCUUCUUUGGAAUGAAUCCAAAUCCCUCCUUGUUAAGGAUGAACCGUUGCUCACUCAAAAUCUUGUCAAGAGUGUUCUUACCCUUGAAGCAUCUCUCCAAACUCUUGUUGAGCUUAGCCACUUGCUCCUUAAGCUCAUUGUUCUCAACAACAAAUGAGGCAUCACAAAUAGAAACACAAGAGCUAGAGCUAGAGCUAGGGCUAGGCAUAUCCAUAAGAUCAUCACAAGAGGUAGAAAUGCUAGAUGAUGCAACAUGAGCAAUAUGGCAAGUUGCAUUAUCAUCAAGCAAAUCACAAGAUAUACCAACAUCAAUGUGAGCUCCAUGUUGAGUAGUGGAAAGGAGGUUGUCAUGAGCUUCCUUAAGCUUCUCAUGAGAAAUGGUGAGUCUCUCAUGAGAGAUCUUUAGCUCCUCAUACAAGACCUCCAAAGAAGCAUGAUCCUUCUUUAGGGCCUUAAACUUGACAAUCUCCUUCUCACUAUAAGCAUGGAGCUCCUCAAACAUACUCACAAGCUCAUCAUAGGAAACAUCAUCACAAUCAUCAUCACUCUCACUAUCACUAAGAGAUGUUACCUUAGAGGAGCCCUUUGCCAUGAGACAAAGUGGAGCGAAGAGUGAUGGAGCCUCCUUGAUGGCAACAACAGCCAUCUUCUUCUUCUUGGAGCUUGCAUCAUCACCGCCUUCUUCCUCGGACCCAGAUGAGGUGGAGCUCUCCUCAUUUGAGUCCCAUUCCCCGAUGAAGGCCUCAAUCUUCUUCCCUUCCUUCUUAAGCUUCUUCAUGAGCUUGUAGCCUCCACUCUUCUUCUUGGAUGACUUGUCUCCAUCAUCAUCCUUGGAAGGGCACUUGGAAGCAAAGUGUCCCUUCUCACAACACUCAAAACACCUCAAGUUGGAGAAAGUCUUGUUGGGUCUUCUAUUUCUUCUCCUAUUUGAGUUCGAGCCCCUUCCUCUCUCCUUUCUCCUUCCCAAGAGAUCAUUGAACUUUCUAGCAAGAAGGACCAUCUCUUCCUCCAAGUCCUCAUUGACUUCAUUCACCUUGCUCUUGCUCUUGUCUUCAACUUCGGCUUGGAGAGCAAUGCACUUCUUGGAGGAUGAGGCUUCCUCCAUCUCCUUCUUCUUCAACUUGUACAUGUCAUUGGUGUUGAUCUUCCCCAAGAGGCUUGCGGGUGUCAUUCUUGACAUGUCGGAGUUGAUGAGCAUGGUGACAAGGGUCUCAUACUUCUCCGGUAGGGCUCUAAGCAUCUUUUGGGCAACCUCAAGAUCGGUGUAGUUUGCCCCAAGCCCCUUGAGAUCAUUCACAAUGACAUUGAGCCUCCCAUACAUGUCAUUCACACUCUCAUGAGGCAACAUGGAGAAUGUCUCAUAUUGGAUCUUGAGGAAAUGAAGCUUGGCAUCCUUGUACUCACUUGUAUCCUCAUGGAUCUCCGCCAACUUGUUCCAAAUCUCAUAUGCGGUCUCAAGGUUGCUCACUCUAUCGAACUCCUCUUGGCUCAAAGAGUUGAACAAGGCAUUCAUGGCUUGGGCAUUGAGUUGGAGGUUGCGGUGAUCAAUCUCCAUCAAGGGUGUGCCGGUGAUAGCAAAGCCUACAUCCACAAUACUCCAAAUAUGGAAGCUCAUAGCUUUGAGAUGAGUAGACAUUUUAAUUUUCCAAGUGGAGUAGUUUGUGCCAUUAAACAUGGGAGCCUUCCCUACAUGGUUCACCUAGUUCGACAUCUUCUCUCUAGGCGGUGAAGCCCAAUCAAGAGAGACCAAGCUCUGAUACCACUUGUAGGAUCGAGAUGUCGACUAGAGGGGGGUGAAUAGGCGAUUUAAAAACUAAAUAACACCUAAUCAAAUCUAACCUAAGUUGCUAGGCUUGGUGAGGGUGAACUCUAACUAAGCAACUAAGUUAUGUUUUGCAAACCUAGGGUGAUAGUGGCUCAAUUAUAUCUCUAGGAAAGUAAAUCACGCUCCUAUGUCAAUGUUUUGCAAUCCUAGGGUGAUAUGAUCUCAAGUAUGUCUCUAGAAAUGUAAAUUGCACAAAUGUAAAUGCGACAAUCAAAUGAGACAAUGAGACAAGAGAUUUUUCACCGAGGUUCGGAAACUCGCCGGUUUCCUACUCCCCGUUGAGGCGAGCCCAACUCCACCGCUCAACCACGAAGCCACCGCACGCCCCCUUCGUCAAGGGGUGGGCAAGGCGGGAGCCGGCCCACGGAGAGGACUACCCAAGCCUCGAUCACUCGGGGUAGUUCUUCCUUCACUCCGAAGGUGGUGAACUCCAAACCACUCACAAACCGGCGCCGGGCCUCCUCCACAAUCUUCUCGGAGAGGUCACCAGGCAACUCCUCCACAAGCCGUCUAGGAGGCAGCAACCUCCAAGAGUAACAAGCAAUGACCCGGUGUGGAGAUGAUCAAGUGCCACACUAGCUCUACAAUGGAAGCAAAUGCACUUGACUCUUGGCUAAACAACCCUCUAACACACUAGAUGGAUGAACAGAAAGCUCAAGUGAGUGUGAGAGAGGUGCAAGGAGUAUAUGCAAUUGAAUUGGGUGCCAAGAGAACCCCCUUGCUGCUGGUGGGGGAGUAUUUAUACUCCCACCCACCAAAACUAGCCGUUGGGGGUGAAAUCCCCCAACUCUGUGCUCUGCCGGUCUGACCGGAGGUACGUGGCCAGUCAGACCGUGCUACUCUGCAACGGCUAGAAAACUAGCCGUUGUAGCCCUGUCAGAGGGCCCCAUCGGCCUGGCCGGUCAGACCAGCAUGGAGUGGCCGGUUAGACCGGCCUCGGCUCGGUCAGACCGCCAUCGGCUCGGUCUGACGGAAUACGGCUCCAUCGGCUCUGUAUCGGCCAUCCCGAGCAGCACCAUCUCGGCCUCCAGGGGGCCGGUCUGACCGCGCAAGUGCCGCCGGUCAGACCGGCCUUAUGCUCCGGUCAGACCGCCUUCUUGCGGCCGGUCAGACCAGCCAGGGCACGCCGGUCAGACCGCCACUAUGUGGCUGGUCUGACCGCCCCUGGUCAGGCCGAACCCAGAGAAUUUGCAAGUGAAUGUGUGUGUGAUAAAAAAGAGAGCACAAAUGAAAAUGCAAUGACCUAAUGUGGCAAUUAUAAUCAUCUCUUUGCUAGGUCAUUACCCCUCUUAAUAGUACGGCGAAACUAAAAAUAAAGCGCUAGUCAAAUUUGAUCACCCUACACCUCGAUCAAUUCUAAAUUAAAGCGCUAGUUUUACCGUCUUCUUUCCCUUUGCUUUGCGCCGUCAAUUUUAAUCCAUCGAUAAUCAUCCAUGCGCACAUAUGACGUGGACCUAACUUAAAAUGUAUAGCUCAAAGACAACGGUUAGUCCACAAUUAGCGCUAGUCAUUAAUUACCAAAAUUAACACCGGGGGCCUAGAUGCUUCAGUCGUCGGGCACCGGCCACCACACACCUCUCCCGCGAUUCAGCGUCUGGCGUCCUCUUCGCUUGCAUGCAUGGGCACUCAUGCAGUCAGUGGUGCUCGCGAGUAUGCUCAGGCGUCGCAACGUACUCCAUCUCCCAACUCUUGGAGAUCCUCUCGCCAAUCCCGAAGGUGUGGCUGACAUGCGACCAUGAUGCGGACGCGGCGCAGAUGCGCGGCGAGCUGCCACACAACGAUGUGGUGGUGUAACCCGAGGGGACGAUGUGUCGGGAGCCCUUCCUACUUCGCUUCUUCGCGCUCUUCGCCGUGUAGGUCCAUGACGCAGCCGUCAGUCGCCACUCUUCUCCCCACCUGUUGCCGGCUGCCCUGGAGGUUUGGGUUGAGACGGGAAGAAAGGGGAGAUAGGUGGGAGAAGAUUAUCGGCUGGCAUAUGGGACCCACAUGUGUCCCACGCUGACUCAGCCACCACGUCACCAAAACCGGGGAGCAAUACUGCCUUGGGACCUAAUGUGACCCGGUUUUGCAAGAUUAGGGAUUUGUUAUAUCUGGUAUUUUAGUUCAGGGACAAUUUCGAAACUCGACGACAAGAUAAGGGACCUCAAGUGAACCUUUUCCUUUCAUCUCUCUCAUUUCUCUUUUUUUUAAAAAAAAUAGCAAAGAUGCUCGUGCGUUGCGAUAGGAAAUCCAAAUUACAUAUGUUAUUUUUUUUUCGUGUACGGUGGCGAAGAGUUAGAUGAUGGAUAUUUGGGGGCCUUUUUUCAUGAACCUGGGUGGGUCUCAGGCACGUCGUGGAUGGAACAUAUGAUAGAGAUGUGGGUUUCACGUAGAGAUAAUCAAUAGUUGAAGUUGUAAUUACUUAUUAGUGUGGUAUAAAGAUUUUAUUUUUUGCUGCAAGGGCACUUAUCACUAUAAAAAAUGAUUUUCGCCUUUGGCUAAAACCUGUUCUUGCAGGCUGCUAGGUCUAAAUAAUUUUUUUUUGCUAUAACGGCGCUUAUCACUAUAAAAAAUAAUUUUUAGUAUCUUUCCAUAUGGGCAGCACAAACCACAUGCGAAAAUAGGGUUUUCGUGCAUGGGCACAUAUGGUAGCUAUUUUUUAAGAAAAUGAACUAUUAUAUAUGCAACUGGUGAAUCCGUGAAACAAAAAUAAUUAAUAGCUAAAACUGGUUGAGUGAAAAAAAUAAUAUGAAACAAAGGGAGUAAAGUAUAUUCUAUGAACUGUUGGCGGUCACAAGAUUUCUAUACACUUGAAGACAGAUUCAUGAGACCCACCAGCAAAAAAUCUCUAUCAGCUCAAAAGACAACUGACCGCCAUGAGUCUCAUUUUUGUGAUAGGGGAGGCACAUGUCACUGCUUGAGGCUACAGGCAGCGGGUGCGUGAUGUUGUCGUGCUCGGAUUGGAAACUGAAUUUUUAUAAGUGAUUGUUUCCGUUUCACAUGGGCGGAAGAGUCGGACGCUUGCGGGGGACAUGGAAACGGACCAACAAUUCACAUGUCGGAUGAAAAAUUGUGUGAGACACACUUUUCUAAGAUGCACGGCAAAAACACUAUGAAUGUUUUAAGUAGAUAAAGAUAUAUAACUAUAUACGUCGUAUUUUGCAAGCAAAUUUGGUAGGAUUGAUAUAUAGAUACAUUAUAACCUACCUCUCAGCAUUUUUCAUAUUUUUUUACCACCGUAUACAUAUAUUUCAAAGCAGUAAGCAUGAUUUAAACAUCCUGGUUUUAAAUUUCAAACAAUAGUCAUGAAAUUUUUUUAAAAUAUUUUAGAGCUUUGAUAAUGGUGUUGUGUCUGGCCCUGCAAAAUAUCAGGUUUAGAAUAUGACUCAUAUAAAAGGAGACGAAGAAGAUAAAUGCUCGAGCAAACCAAUUUUAGUAGUUCAAGGGGUACAAUGAGGCAAAACAUAGGUUAGUGGGUUAAGGGUGUGCUUUUUACUCCAUCUUCCUAACUUAUACUCACUUCUUUUUAUACGCACGCUUUUUAUAGGUUAGUGGGUUAAGUGAGAUAAUUGUGAUUGGUUGAGAUGGGGGAGUAGGUAGAGAAGUAGUUAUAUUUUGGGACAAAAUAUGAAUGCUAUAAGUAACCAUAAUAUGGGACAGAGGGAGCAGUCAAUACCCAGAUAAUUCGGCUUGUCAACUUCAGUUCCUACUUACUGUCCUUAAACAUCCAAAGGGAUUGUAAUAUUUUGAUCCAAACAAGGAACAGUAGCAAUUGCUGCAUGCCAUUAUUUUCAUGAAGAUUCAUUCUGAAUUUGUAGUUUCAUAUCUCCACUACCUUUAGUUAAGUAACCUCAUUUCCAGAAUAUUACCAAAAUUACAUUGGAAGAUGAAGAAACUACAGUAAGCAGCAUAAUGCUUACAGCAGACAAAUAAUCAAACAGUAAAAGACCACCACAUACCAG
rnacentral:lncRNA from 1 species